UACAUUUUAGUAUAUGAUGUACUUAAAUUUUUGGUAUUUAAGGAGGUAGUUUAAUUCUGUCAAAUGUAA
rnacentral:tRNA from 1 species